GGUGUUUAAUCGUUCUGUUUUGGGUAUCUUGUUGUUCUUAUUUAUUUAUUUUUAUUUUGAUUGAGAGCAAUGUUUUUAGUAAGAGUUUUAUUUUGAGAGCAUGUUGUCUUGGGGUUUUUAGUUUUAGUUUAAUAGAGAGAUCUAUUUAUGCUAAAGUUUUUAAUUUCUAUUAUUUUUAAUUUUUAUUCUCCAAAUUCUGUAAUCUUUCUUCUUUGUUAUGCAAUACAAUUAAAUCUUCCUUCAUGCAAUUUGUGUUCGCUUCAAUCUUCUUAUUUUAUCCAUUUUAAUUUAUGCCAAAACUCUUCUUUGAUUAAUUAAAUAAAUGCUUUUUGAAUUUAAAUACCUGUCUUUUAGUUAAUUUCAAUAAAAAAA
rnacentral:lncRNA from 1 species